rnacentral:lncRNA from 1 species
CUCUUGCUGAGACAUGUUGGUCGACAUUGCCUCCGAGCCCACUUUAGCCCUCAGCUCUGUAUCAGAAAUGCUGUUCCUUUGGGAACCACAGGCAAACAAGAGAUGGAGCGGUUCUGGAAUAAGAACACAGGUUUAAACCGUCCUGUAUCUCCCCACGUCACUAUCUACAGUUGGUCUCUUCCCAUGGCAAUGGCCAUCUGCCACCAUGACACUGGUACUGCUUUGAGGGCAGGGGCCUCUCUUUUUGGCAUGUCAGCCCUGUUACUCCCUGGGAACUUUGAGUCUUAUUUGGAGCUGGUGAAGUCCCUGUGUCUGGGGCCAGCACUGAUCCACACAGCUAAGUUUGCACUCGUCUUCCCUCUCAUGUAUCAUACCUGGAAUGGGGUCUGACACUUGAUGUGAGACCUAGGAAAAGGCCUGAAGAUUCCCCAGCUAUACCAGUCUGGAGUGGCUGUCCUGGUUCUUACUGUGUUGUCCUCUGUAGGGCCGGCAGCCAUAUGA